rnacentral:rRNA from 1 species
UACGUAGGGGGCAAGCGUUGUCCGAAUUCAUUGGGCGUAAAGAGCGUGUAGGCGGCCAGGUAGGUCGGUUGUGAAAACUGGAGGCUCAACCUUCAGAGGUCGACCGAAACCAUCUGGCUAGAGUCCGGGAGAGGAGAGUGGAAUUCCUGGUGUAGCGGUGAAAUGCGCAGAUAUCAGGAAGAACACCCGUGGCGAAAGCGGCUCUCUGGAACGGUACUGACGCUGAGACGCGAAAGCGUGGGGAGCAAACAGG